AAGAUUAUAGUUAAAUAUAACAUUUGAAUUGCGCUCAAAAAGUAUCAUCUGAUUUUUCUUA
rnacentral:tRNA from 1 species